rnacentral:rRNA from 1 species
AUUGAACGCUGGCGGCAUGCCUUACACAUGCAAGUCGAACGGCAGCAUGAUCUAGCUUGCUAGAUUGAUGGCGAGUGGCGAACGGGUGAGUAAUACAUCGGAACGUGCCCUGUAGUGGGGGAUAACUAGUCGAAAGAUUAGCUAAUACCGCAUACGACCUGAGGGUGAAAGUGGGGGACCGCAAGGCCUCAUGCUAUAGGAGCGGCCGAUGUCUGAUUAGCUAGUUUGUGAGGUAAAGGCUCACCAAGGCGACGAUCAGUAGCUGGUCUGAGAGGACGAUCAGCCACACUGGGACUGAGACACGGCCCAGACACCUACGGGAGGCAGCAGUGGGGAAUUUUGGACAAUGGGCGAAAGCCUGAUCCAGCAAUGCCGCGUGUGUGAAGAAGGCCUUCGGGUUGUAAAGCACUUUUGUCCGGAAAGAAAUGGCUCUGGUUAAUACCUGGGGUCGAUGACGGUACCGGAAGAAUAAGGACCGGCUAACUACGUGCCAGCAGCCGCGGUAA